rnacentral:tRNA from 1 species
GAGGGUAUAGCUCAGUGGUAGAGCAUGUGCUUUGGUAUGCAUGAGGUCCCAGGUUCAAGCCCCAGUUCCUCCA